AGUGAUCACUCGGGCUAGAGGAUCACAAGGUAUGUCGAAUUCCAUCUUUUGGUGAUUUUUUUGAAUUCAUGUUUGACUCUGACAAGCUAGGUAGGAGCUUGGAAAUGAACGGGUCAAAUGGAUACAAGUUCAAGUAUGAGGCUCGCAAGGAUGCAAGGUGAAUGUUAUAUGCUUCCGCAUGAGGAUCAAGCCACGAGCAAGAACCGAACACACCUCUCAAUGAAGCUUCCGCAUUCGAUCUUGUUUUGUUUUAAUAAAAGUGGAUUAUGUAAACACUUUUAGCGAUGUUUUGGAUGUUGUAAACAUGUUUAAAUACUUAUGAUGUAAAAGUUUUUGUUAAGUGGCAUUUUUCAUAUAAAAUGCUUACUUUAAUGUUAUGUAAAGGAUAAAAAUUAUUAUGG
rnacentral:lncRNA from 1 species